rnacentral:lncRNA from 1 species
CUCUUAUUCAAAGAGAUUUAAUUACUCACCAGAUCUGUUCCAACAAUUUUAAGAAAGCAGAGGAAUUCAAGGCACUAUGUACCACCCCAUUUGAGAGGUAACCCAGACUGAGAUAGCCAAAAGCAGUGUAUAAUUGCAAGACACUGUGCUAAGAUCUGUCAUAUGAUAUAAUUUCAAUGAGUGGAAAUGUGUUUUUAUGCUAAGAUUUGAGGUGAGACAUCAGAAAUAUAUUCCAAGUUUAUUUUCCAGGUUUAUCCUGGUCAAUAAAAUAUGUAAGUCCAUUCCUCCACCUUUAAUCUGUUCCUCACUGCCUUGCAAGAUCUGACAAGAGUGAGCUUCUCACUGUAUUAGUUUCCAAUAGUUGAUCUAACCAAUUACAACAAACUUGGUGGCUUAAACAAUAGAAAUUUAUUAACUUAGCGUUCUGAAGGCAUAGUCCCAAAUGGGUCUGACAGGGCUAAAAUCAGAGUCAGCAGGACAGUGUUUCUCUGAGAGUUUAAGGGAGAAUCUGUUUCUUCACCUUUCCCAGCUUCUGUGGACUGCCUGUAAUUCCUUGGCUUGUAACCCCUUUCCUUCAUCUUCAAAGCCAACAGUGUCCCAUGUCUCCAGCCAUUCUUUCAUAGUCACAACUCCCUUUGACUCUCUUCUUCUUUCUACUUUCACUUUUAAGGACCCUUAAAAGUGGUCCUUAAUCCACUAGGCCCACCCAAAUAAUCCAGGAAAAUCUCCCUAUUUUAAGGUCAGCUAAUUAGCAACUUCAAUCCUGCCUGCAACCUUAAUUCUCUUUGCCGUAUAAAAUAACAUAUUUACAGGUUCGUUGGAAUAAAGAUGUAGACAUCUUUGAGGGGUCUUCAUUCUGCCUAUCACAGUAUCUAUUGGGGGAAGCAAGUGUGUCAGAGGACCUCUUGGAGCAGUAUAUAGAAGACUCUCACUUAAAUGAGAGUUGGACUAAAUGACCAGAGGUCAAUUUGCCAGCAUAGAGAUUAUAUGACACUUUAACAUUGUACCAGGAACUGAAUCUUUAUAACUUUAGCUUCCCUACUGGUAUAAUGAGUGUGGUAACAUUUUACUACCAACAAGCAAGAGUUUUAAAAGCCACAGAGAAUUUAAUUAUAUAUACAUAAAGUCCUUAUUUAACCUUUCUCUGGCGAUUUUACAUUUUAAUAGCUUUGAAUUUUGCUAUUAAAAAUAACACUGCAAUAAGCAUCCCUAUGUAGCUGUGAUUAUUUUCCUAUGAUAAUUUCUAAUACUGGAUCCAAUGGUGUGAACAUCUCUAAGGAUCUUGAUACUUUCCCCA